rnacentral:rRNA from 1 species
CCUUGGUCAGGUUGAAGUUCAGGUAACACUGAAUGGAGGACCGAACCGACUUACGUUGAAAAGUGAGCGGAUGAACUGAGGGUAGCGGAGAAAUUCCAAUCGAACUUGGAGAUAGCUGGUUCUCUCCGAAAUAGCUUUAGGGCUAGCCUCAAGUGAUGAUUAUUGGAGGUAGAGCACUGUUUGGACGAGGGGCCCCUCUCGGGUUACCGAAUUCAGACAAACUCCGAAUGCCAAAUAAUUUAACUUGGGAGUCAGAAUGUGGGUGAUAAGGUCCAUAUUCGAAAGGGAAACAGCCCAGACCACCAGCUAAGGUCCCAAAAUAUAUGUUAAGUGGAAAAGGAUGUGGCGUUGCCCAGACAACUAGGAUGUUGGCUUAGAAGCAGCCAUCAUUUAAAGAGUGCGUAAUAGCUCACUAGUCGAGUGACACUGCGCCGAAAAUGUACCGGGGCUAAACAUAU